AAAAUCAGCAACAGGUAGCAGCACAGCAUCCAAAGCCACCCACCUCCAAGCUUUCCCUUGGGCUGAACUGAGUUUGGGUUCCUGUCUGUUCACAAGAUGAUGUCAACCUGUGUGGCACCCAGAAGACUCACCAACCCCUGAGAGAGUAGCCAACCAUGAGUGCCAGGUAAAGGCAUGGCCCCCUCGGGUGCUCACACCGCUUCAAGAUUUCACUUGGUCGGAACAGUGAGUGCCUGGUGGGACUGGUCUGGAAGAUGGAGAUAUGACAAGCAGUGGCAUCCACAGCCAAAGAAAACAUGUUAUGGUACUGCUGCUGUUGGAGGCAUUCUUGCACCUCUUAGAUGAUGCUGACACUACCCCUCAUGAUGUCAAUGCUUGCUAAAUGAUAAGAUGUUCUGGAUGGCUCGCAAGCCAGGCCUCUGCAGCUUGCUCCCUUUGCUAAGUUGACGGACACUAAUGAUUACAUAUGGACAGACCAAAAGUCUGGACUGACUUGGUUUCGUGACAAAACCAAGCCCUGUAUCUGCCAGAACUGGACCAAAGGCCUUUUGUAUCAAAUAUUUCACAACCUGUUUUGUUCUCACAGACUGGCAGGGACACAUGGAGAUGAAACUGUCCAUAUUAAAGUACUGUGAAGCCACAAAGUAUAAAUAGUAAUCCAGGUCUCAUUUUCAUAGAAGUACAGAUACAGACAGAAAUCAAAGAGCCAUUGUUCCCUAACUUCCUUGCUGCUGCAAAGGGUUACUACUUAAUU